rnacentral:rRNA from 1 species
GACAGAGGGUGCAAACGUUGUUCGGAAUUACUGGGCGUAAAGCGCGUGUAGGCGGCAAUGCAAGUCGGAUGUGAAAUCCCAUGGCUCAACCAUGGAAGUGCACCCGAAACUGCAUAGCUAGAGUAUCGGAGAGGAAGGUGGAAUGCUUGGUGUAGAGGUGAAAUUCGUAGAUAUCAAGCGGAACACCGGUGGCGAAGGCGGCCUUCUGGACGAUUACUGACGCUGAGACGCGAAAGCGUGGGUAGCAAACAGG